AAAGCUUUAAGUUAAUAAAAACUAUUAACCUUCAAAGUUAAAAUUAUAUUCAUUAUAAGCUUUA
rnacentral:tRNA from 1 species